rnacentral:lncRNA from 1 species
CAGAAAACAUCGCCCUUUGCAGGAUCCCUCCACCACACAAAAUGGCCUGCAUCUAAUCUCAGAGCUCACAAAUCAAUUAUCCCCAGCCAUGAAAACUCCUGGAGGUCACUGUGGACGGGCUGAAAAGGAGACCUGAUUUGUCUGUCUUUGGUUCAUUAGCUCAGCGCGUCCGCACCUUCACUGUACCCUUGCUGGAGGGGCUUCAGCCGUUUCCCGAGGAAUGGCUAUUUCUGAUUUCCCUGAGGUCUAAGGACAGCUGAGAAGAGGCAGAAGCUGGCUGGUUAAGGACACGUCUUCUAGGUCAUUAUGGAGUCAUUGAAAGAGGACAGUCUGGAGUCUGUGGAGCCUAUGGAACCACGAGGAGCUUCACUUACAGAAGAGAUGAAAUUCAGCAGUGACCUUGAAUGAUGGAGGUUGGGUUUGUCUGUUUAGAAAUGGGAACAAGAUGAAGGACGUUACACAGAGGAGAGCUCGGAUGCAAUGGCCUUCAUUGAGAUGCUGUCUCCCCUGGAGGAAGACCUUAGGGCCCUUCCCAGAGUAGAGGAGGUGAGUUGUAAUUAUCAUGGCAAUUGUCAGGUGCUUCUGAAAGGCUUCAAGAUACUUGAAACCCAGCCAAGUAAGGCUGGAAUUACUUCUUCCAAAUUGUACCCAUAGCACAGAGCUCUCCAGCCCUCCUUCAUGCAAAGGUUAACAUCCCCUAGCUCUGGUGUGGAUUAUCCCAGCGACAAUGCUGUGGGCCC